rnacentral:ncRNA from 1 species
GACACUCUGGAGAAGCCCGGGUCGCCCCGGGUGCCGAAGGUGCAAAACCGGAAAACCGGUGAAUCUCUCAGGCAAAAGGACAGAGACA